GGGCCUGUAGCUCAGUUGGUAGAGCGCCACGUUUACACCGUGGAUGUCGUCGGUUCGAGGCCGGCCGGGCCCACCG
rnacentral:tRNA from 1 species